UAGGGAAUCUUCGGCAAUGGACGAAAGUCUGACCGAGCAACGCCGCGUGAGUGAAGAAGGUUUUCGGAUCGUAAAACUCUGUUGUUAGAGAAGAACAAGGACGUUAGUAACUGAACGUCCCCUGACGGUAUCUAACCAGAAAGCCACGGCUAACUACGUGCCAGCAGCCGCGGUAAUACGUAGGUGGCAAGCGUUGUCCGGAUUUGUUGGGCGUAAAGCGAGCGCAGGCGGUUUCUUAAGUCUGAUGUGAAAGCCCCCGGCUCAACCGGGGAGGGUCAUUGGAAACUGGGGGACUUGAGUGCAGAAGAGGGGAGUGGAAUUCCAUGUGUAGCGGUGAAAUGCGUAGCUAUAUGGAGGAACACCAGUGGCGAAGGCGGCUCUCUGGUCUGUAACUGACGCUGAGGCUCGAAAGCGUGGGGAGCAAACAGG
rnacentral:rRNA from 1 species